UACAGAGGGCCCAAGCGUUGUUCGGAUUCACUGGGCGUAAAGGGUGCGUAGGCGGUCGGGUAAGUCUGACGUGAAAUCUUCAAGCUCAACUUGGAAACUGCGUCCGAUACUAUUCGGCUAGAGGAAUGGAGGGGAGACUGGAAUACUUGGUGUAGCAGUGAAAUGCGUAGAUAUCAAGUGGAACACCAGUGGCGAAGGCGAGUCUCUGGACAUUUCCUGACGCUGAGGCACGAAAGCCAGGGGAGCGAACGGG
rnacentral:rRNA from 1 species